AGCCACGGGGCCCCUGUCCUGUCUGUCCUGUCGUCUGUCCUGUCCCGUCUGUCCCGUCCUUCUGCCGGGGCAAUGGCGGGGGCGUCAUCUCCGAGGGAGCGGUGAGACAUUUCCUGCCCUGCGAGUUUGAGGCCUCGACACAUCCCAGCGAGCUGCCCGCAGUCCGGAGCCGGAACCACUCGCAGACAUGUUUCUGUCCCGACUGGCUUGCCGGCUCGCGAAGGUCGCCCCCGUUGCAGGCCGCGUCGUGGCCAGGCCCGGUCCCGUCGCCGUAGUGAUCCCCGGGACCCGGGCCCACUCGGGCCGCCUGGCGGACGGCCGGAGCCGAUGGACCCCGCAGCUCCCGUCCGCAGCGGGCCCCCACCUGGAGGACGUGCUGGUGCCCCGGAAGCUGGCCAUCAGCCCCCUGGAGAGCUGGCUCACCGCCCACUACGUCCUCCCCCGUGCCACGCCGGCCUCCGGGCCCGGCCGCUUCUACGACUGCCCGCCGGGUGAGGCGGGAGCCCGCGAAGAGCCGGUGCCGGAGGGCGAUGCGGGGGCCCGGGCCAUCCUGUGCAAGAACGUGCUGAAGAUCCGCCGGCGGAAGAUGAACCAUCACCAGUACCGGAAGCUCAUCAAGCGGACGCGCUUUGUGCGAAGGAAGGUCCUGGAAGGCCGCAAGCGUCGGAAGCAGAUCCGUUUUGAGAAGGACCUGAAGCGCAUCUGGAAGAAAGCCGGCUUGAAAGAGGCGCCGGCGGGCUGGCACACCCCCAAAGUCUAUGUGAAGGGCCAGUGAAGCCACCCCGCGACUCCCACCCAGGGAUUUCGGCCAAAGAUUACGUAGGACGUCACUAGGUUUGUGUGUCUCCUGAGUGACACGCUUGGAACAUAAGGUUCUUCUGUUACUUCUGAGAUGGAAAAGGCCCGUCCGGCACCUGUGAAGGCCGUCAGAGUCCCGCCUGGCCACCCGAGUGAAAUAUGGACUUGGAGAGGGGAGACACUGGAGGCCGUGUGACCAACAAGGCGGCUGAAGCAGCAGUUAUGCUGGGAUAUGACGAGCAUCUGGAUCAUUGUGGUUGCUGUUGGGAUGGAGAGGAAAGGGCAGAUCCUGGAUACGUGGAGGAAAAACCAAUAGGAGUUGGCAGAAGGCUUGUUACGGGGUUGAAAGAGGAGGAGGAGUCAAGAAUAAUGCUGAGGUUGUGGGAUUUGGAGACGGAGAGGACGGUGAUGGUGUUGACUGUGAUGGGAAAGUCAGAUGGAGGAGAAAAUACGGGAGGGUGAAGGAGGAGUUCAGUUUGGGGCACGUCAAGCUGGAGGGCUCGGCGGGAUAACCAGGCG